rnacentral:rRNA from 1 species
UAAUACGUAGGGCGCAAGCGUUGUCCGGAAUUAUUGGGCGUAAAGAGCUCGUAGGCGGCUUGUCACGUCGGGUGUGAAAGCCCGGGGCUUAACCCCGGGUCUGCAUUCGAUACGGGCUAGCUAGAGUGUGGUAGGGGAGAUCGGAAUUCCUGGUGUAGCGGUGAAAUGCGCAGAUAUCAGGAGGAACACCGGUGGCGAAGGCGGAUCUCUGGGCCAUUACUGACGCUGAGGAGCGAAAGCGUGGGGAGCGAACAGGAUUAGAUACCCUGGUAGUCCACGCCGUAAACGGUGGGAACUAGGUGUUGGCGACAUUCCACGUCGUCGGCACCGCAGCUAACGCAUUAAGUUCCCCGCCUGGGGAGUACGGCCGCAAGGC